ensembl:lncRNA
GAAUUAUCAGAGCAGGAAUUUUAAACAACUACGAUUAAAAUACUAAGGGCCCUCACGGAUAAAGCAGACAACCUGCAGGAAGAGAGAGAUGGGCAAUGUAAGCAGAGAGAUGGAAAUUCUAAGAAAGAACCAAAAAGAAAUGCUAGAGAUUACAGAAGAAAAAAAACACUUUAAGAGAAAUGCAGAAUGCUUUUGAUAGGCCUAUACUAUAUAGGGGGGUUCCCAGUGGCUGAGUGGUAAAGAAUUCACUGCAAUGCAGAAGACUUGGGUUUGAUCCCUGGGUUGGGAAGAUCCCCUGGAGAAGGAAAUGGCAACCCACUCCAGUAUUCUUGCCUGGGAAAUCCUGUGGACGCAGGAGCCUGGUGGGGUACAGUCCAUGGGGUUGCAAGACUUGGACACAACUUAGCAACAGAAACAAACACACAGUAUAGAUUCGAUACAAUUCAGGAAAGAAUCUCUGAGCUUUGGGAUAUCUCAAUAGAAACCUCCAAAACUGAAAAGAAAAAAAAACUUAAAAAAGAAAAUAAAAUCCAAGAACUGUAGAAAGCCAAAAGUAAUAAUGUACGCAGAAUAGGAAUAUCAGAACAAGAAGAGAGAAAGGAACAGAAAAAUAUUUGAAGUAAUAAUGACAGAAAUUCCCCAAAAUUAAUUUUAGGCACCUAAUCAAUCCUCUAAGGAGAAGUGGAUGACAGAAGAUGAGAUGGUUGGGUGGCAUCACCACUCGGUGGACAUGAAUUUGAGCAAGCUCUGGGAGUUGGUGAUGGACAGGGAAGCCUGGUGUUACUGCAGUCCAUGGGGUCACAAAGAGUCAGACACGACUGACCGACUGAACUGAACUGAAUUAACUAAUGACUCAUUCAGGAAGUUCAGAGAACACCAAGCAGGAUAAAUGACAAAAAGUUUGACACCAAGUCAUAUCAUUUUCAAAAAUACAAAAAAAAAAAAGAAAAGAAAAAAAUUCUGAAAGAAGCCAGAGGGAGAAAACACUGUACUUACAGAAAAGCAAAGGUUAAGAAUUACAGGACUUCCCCAGUGGUACAGUGGAUAGGAAUCUGCCUGCCAAUGCAGGGGACACGGAUUCAAUCUCUGGUCUGGGAAGAUUCCACAUGCUGUGGAACAACUAAGCCCCGGCACCAAAAUUACUGAGCCCGAGCUCCAGAGACCUCAAGCCACAACUAUAAAGCAUAUGUGCCCCAACUACUGAAGACCACGUGUCUAAAGCCUGUGCUCUGAAACCACAGAAGCCACC